UGCGCCUUUAGUGUAAUGGAUCGCACGUGAGAUUCCGGUUCUUGAGAUCCGGGUUCGACUCCCGGGAGGCGCAUCCA
rnacentral:tRNA from 1 species